GCCGCCCUCCGCGCAGGCGGCCAGGGGGGCUCAGGCGAACUACGAGAGGGAGGGGCGGGGUCGGGGUGGAAGCGCGGAGCAUGGCGAGGCCGCUCGGCUUCGUCGCUGCUGCAAGGCUCGGAUCAUGGGCGGCAGUCAGUCGCGGCGCCCCGAAGGCCGCCUGUUCGACGAAAUGCGUCAACCACCUGCCUUUUCUGCCACAGGCUUUUGAAGAAUCGUGCUCUCUUCUUGUGCCAGUUUCGCUCAACUGCUUGCCAAUAUCAGCGUUACAUUCUGCAUCUGAAGAAUGCAGUGUCCAUGACAGCUAGUGGACUCUUGCAGACUUCAGAGUAUUCACUUCAGGCUUUCUGAAUAAUGCUGUACCUCAGCAGUUGCUUACUGAUUGCCCCAGAUUCGCAAAGCCCUUUUAUCUGGUGCCUGGGGUCUGAAACUGGAAGCUCCCUCAUCUUAGCCAUGUUUCCGCUCUCACCCUCGCCAGUCAUCUCCAGGCAUGAAGAGGCUUCAGAUAUGAAAUAUGUGCUGCUGACAACAGAGAGUGCUUCAAAUAUGAAGUGAUCUAUUCUAGCUAAGAAGCUGCCAACAGUUGUUUAUUUAUGUUCCACUGAUUUGGCAGACCAGAUGAAGAUCAACCCCCACCGUUAUUCUCUCAAGACCCCCUGCCCAACAAACAUACCUGUCUGAUGGCCGGAAUAAACAUGUCGACACAAAAAGGGCAAGAAGCUCAUGUCAAUAUAAGCAUUGGAGCAGCAGGUAACCUGAAGCCUGAUUCUGAUGUCGACAUAAGGCAGCAGAAGCCAAUUGAACUAGGGGAACAUGGCAUUCUGGACUUGCAGAAAAUAGGGUGGGUACUUCGGCUGCGGUGGUCGUGGCUGCUGGGCACAUCGCCGUCAUGGUUGUGGCAAGAAUUCAGACUGCCCUGCACCAACACUGUACAUGCAUUGUUCCAAGCCUCCACCUAUGUAACUGUCGGCAAUGGUCGCAACACCCGCUUCUGGACUGACUGCCGGAUGGAUGAUCGCUCACCAGCAGAUGUUGUUCCAACCGUCCUCCAAGCUGUACAGUACAGCCGCAUCUCUGUUGCCAACUCCGGACUGUCGGACUGUACUGUAUGCGAUGACCUUCACAACAACAGGUGAAUCCAGUAUAUUGUUGGCGCACUCUUGGCUCAGGCAAUGACCGCAUUCCUGCAACUGGCAGAAUCAAUUCCACAUUUUCAGGUUUCCGAAAGGACGAAGGCAGUCUUAUCUGGAGUUGAUCUGAAUCAGGGAAAUGCAUCACCGAAUUUGCUUACUGGGCGUUCUUCAAUGGCACUGUCGAGUUCCCAUUCUAGGAAGAACGGAAUGACACUUCAAAAAUCAUAUCUUAAAAGAAUGAUGUGAGUAUGUCCAGAACCAUUCCAACUUUUUGAGGCAGCUUUCCUCACCUGUAGCAUUUUAUAGUAAAAAAAAAGUUGCAGAAACAUUAUGCAUCGACAUUUAACAAGAUAAAAAGGUAACAGUAAAUUAUACCAGCACCAAUGAUUCUUACCGGUUUGCUAGAAUCACUCCGUCCUCCAGAUGACUGUGUAAGCGGUCCAAGGUGGGAAUACUUCUUACCGUUUGCUAGAACCAGCCUGGCAUGGGAUUACUGGUUGGGGUUACUUUCGGAAGAUCCAUCAUCAACAUUAUGACUGGAACACCCCUUCAUGUCCGUGAUGAAAACCCUUUAUCUGGCCUUUAUUGGUCGGGCUCGACAAUGAUGAACUUGCGUCGUGACCUUGUUGAAGGCAUUGUCUCCUUGUCGUAUUGGCCUUUAUUGGUCGGGCUCGAGAAUGACGAACUUGCGUCGUGACCUUGUUGAGGGCAUUGUCUCCUUCUCGAACCGGCCUUCACUAAUUGAUCAUGAUAAUUAGGAUGAAAAUCCUUGUUCAGGUCGUCUCGAUUCGGACACGGUGAUGAUGUUUAUCUCUUCUUAAAGGCGUUGUUGCGGAAGAAGUCAAGUUGGCCCUAGUACUGCAGCAUUAUUGAUGAGCGAUCACCACGGAGAGCACAUGGAUUAACAUGGUGGCACUGGCAGACACAUUACUGUGACUACUUUCAGGUUGUCGACUGGGCAACUUGCAUAAGCAAUUAACAAUUUAGCAUGUAGAAAAAUGAACAUGAAAUUGCGUCCCAGGCACCAAGCUUAUUCAGAGGGCCGAGCAUGGUUGGUACUUUCGGUUCAUCGAGUUCUGCCGUAAAUUGAAUACUUGACUGAACUAUCGAGUGCAUGUAGUUGCACUCAAGUCAGCUUGUACCUUCUUUUCUAUCUGGAUUACCAUCGAUAGCAGGAACACGUACAUAUUCAAAAAAGUUCAAGGAAACCCAUAAGCACAAGCUAACAAGCAGCACUAUCUUGAAAAAUGAGUCUGACUACAUGUUGGUUUAAAGGCAUUUGAGACGGAUCGGCCUCCUAACCACCUGCGUCACAGACAGUAGCAGAUGAUGGUUCAAAAUAAUUAUAUGUGCCUCUGCCCGGUUGUCAUCUGACUCUCAUAUUCAGCUACUAAUGAGAUGCAUGAUUUCUUUGCCAAUUGCCAUCAGCUUUGAGGAAAAUCUGCACAGGUUACGGAGGUAUGAUCUAUCAGCGAAUCCCGCGACAUCACUGGAGUUCUACACGUAGUCAUCGCUUCACCGGACUUAUUUGGUUGGUCUACAUAUGAACACUGCACGACCUGAUUCCUGUUGCCUCCCAUGCUUACUUUUCACUCAUGGAUCGUUGGCAAAACUUGGACUCUACGAGUGUGUACUCGCUCUUUCUGUGUAUGUGAAGAUGUCAUGGUUAUCUGGACCAUGACCUCUCAUUGCUCAAGUCACAUGUGUAUCGAUAUGCCAGUGCUCUUUCUUAAAUAUAUGUGCCGUCUAUAAAGACUGAGUGUAUGCUCAAUACUCUCAUGACUGAUGCAUUAAUACAAAAUACAGU